GUAGGUGGCAAGCGUUGUCCGGAAUUAUUUGGCGUAAAGCGCGCGCAGGCGGUUCUUUAAGUCUGAUGUGAAAGCCCACGGGCUCAACCGUGGAGGGUCAUUGGAAACUGGAGAACUUGAGUACAGAAGAGGAAAGCGGAAUUCCACGUGUAGCGGUGAAAUGCGUAGAGAUGUGGAGGAACACCAGUGGCGAAGGCGGCUUUCUGGUCUGUAACUGACGCUGAGGCGCGAAAGCGUGGGGAGCAAACAGGAUUAGAUACCCUGGUAGUCCACGCCGUAAACGAUGAGUGCUAAGUGUUAGGGGGUUUCCGCCCCUUAGUGCUGCAGCUAACGCAUUAAGCACUCCGCCUGGGGAGUACGGCCGCAAGGCUG
rnacentral:rRNA from 1 species